GCACUUUGGACAGAUUCUUCGGAUGAAGUCCUUAGUGACUGAGUGGCGGACGGGUGAGUAACGCGUGGGUAACCUGCCUCAUACAGGGGGAUAACAGUUAGAAAUGGCUGCUAAUACCGCAUAAGCGCACAGUACCGCAUGGUACGGUGUGAAAAACUCCGGUGGUAUGAGAUGGACCCGCGUUGGAUUAGCUAGUUGGCAGGGUAACGGCCUACCAAGGCGACGAUCCAUAGCUGGCCUGAGAGGGUGGACGGCCACAUUGGGACUGAGACACGGCCCAGACUCCUACGGGAGGCAGCAGUGGGGAAUAUUGCACAAUGGGGGAAACCCUGAUGCAGCGACGCCGCGUGAGCGAAGAAGUAUUUCGGUAUGUAAAGCUCUAUCAGCAGGGAAGAAAAUGACGGUACCUGACUAAGAAGCCCCGGCUAACUACGUGCCAGCAGCCGCGGUAAUACGUAGGGGGCAAGCGUUAUCCGGGUUUACUGGGUGUAAAGGGAGCGUAGACGGAAUGGCAAGUCUGAUGUGAAAGGCCGGGGCUCAACCCCGGGACUGCAUUGGAAACUGUCAAUCUAGAGUACCGGAGGGGUAAGUGGAAUUCCUAGUGUAGCGGUGAAAUGCGUAGAUAUUAGGAGGAACACCAGUGGCGAA
rnacentral:rRNA from 1 species